GACGAACCGUGCGAACGUUAUUCGGAAUCACUGGGCUUAAAGCGCGUGUAGGCGGGACGGCACGUCGGUCGCUGAAAUCCCCCGGCUCAACCGGGGAACGGGCGCCGAUACGACCGCCCUGGAGGGACGUAGGGGGACCUGGAACUUCCGGUGGAGCGGCGAAAUGCGUUGAGAUCGGAAGGAACGCCCGUGGCGAAAGCGAGGUCCUGGACGUCUGCUGACGCUGAGACGCGAAAGCCAGGGGAGCGAACGGG
rnacentral:rRNA from 1 species